CUCAAAGGAAAGGAUGAGGAAUUCGAUCUAGUAAAGUGCUUAUCAGCAGUUUUAUUUAUGCUGUUUAUGUGGGAAUAGGCAUUGUUUCCUACAAAUCAUCCAUAACAAUGUUAAGUUAAUGAUACAAACUCAAGUUUACUUUCUGGGUUUUGCUGGACAAGGGAAUAUCUCAGAAGCAGAGUUUAAUCACUGUGGCAGAAGGGGCUCUUUCAGAAGAGCACGUCCACCCUGGGAACACGCAGCCUCUGCACACUGCAGAGCGGAAGGAGGAGGGCAAGCCCCACUCUCCAGAAGCACAGCGAGCUCCUUAUGUCCUCGAAGAGCUCAGAAGAUGCUGAGCAGAUGAAACACUGUCCUGCUGGUCACAGACCUCAGCUGGAGCCUGUUGUUAGGGUCAGCAAAAAUGCACCAAGAGGUUUGAAGGGUUAAAGGUGAUCCUGAACAGGAAAGAUGUUUGCUCCCUCCUUCCCACCCCACCUUUAAAAUGCUGUGAAGGUCAUGGUUUGGGGUUUAAGAUGCUUCACUGGAGUCUACAGAGGGUUAGCAGUGGCCAUCCCAUAGCAGCACUGCCUGAUGUGGAGGACUUCAGAAGAGGCUGAUGUGGAGGACUUCACUGAGUCACUGUGUUGGAGAUGCCUUUAACCAGACACACACAGCUACCUGCACAGCUCCUGCAUGUGCACAGAGAAACAAGACAGCAGGUUUUGAGGAACCCUGAAGCUAGAAGGUACAGUUCAUUUUAUAUUUGGAUAGAGCUAUCAUACUAGCGCUGUGCUGGAACUCAUCAAUGGAGCAAUAAAGUAAUCACACGCACCUCUCCACUACCAGUUUCAUUUGAACUUUCUGUCAUUUCCCCUCCUUCCCUUCCUCUGAAGUUCUGCCUCUGCCAGUAUUUCCUGUUUCUGGUAAGUACCAAAGCAUUUUUCAGACAAGCUCACUAACAUGCAAGUUGUGCUCCAUUUUGGUUUCCUCCAGUUGGUUGAGUAUAUUUGAUUCCCACUUGACAUCAACCUCCUUCCUUAGAG
ensembl:lncRNA